rnacentral:tRNA from 2 species
AGUUAAAUUGGCAGAAUAAUGUACUUGAUUUAGGAUCAAAAAAAAAAGGUUAUAACCCUUUAUUUAAUUU